rnacentral:rRNA from 2 species
GUUGUUCGAGACUAGAACGUUGAUAGGCAGGGUGUGUAAGCGUUGUGAGGCGUUGAGCUAACCUGUACUAAUAGCCCGUGAGGCUUAACCAUACAACACCGAAGAGGUUU